AGUUGCCUGUUGCUAAGCGACCGGUCAGCUUCUCUGGCACUAUAGUAACGGGCAUCUCCAGGAGCAUAUCAGGAGACGAGAACGAGACACCACCAAAUUACCCAUCACCCCCCACUCCUGCAGCCCCGCCCCCCCCAGUUGACCUGGAGAGCAGCCCCAACACUGAUGGGGGAGCAGGUUCACAGAUUAAAAAAGAGAACUUGGAAGCAAGUGAGUUUUAUUCUGAAAGGACUGAAAGCGAAACCAAUGGAUCUUCUGCAGGAUUCUUCACCAACAUAAAGCAGUAACUCAUCCCUCUCUGUCUUCAUCUCUCCAUUAAUGUUUUUUCUGAAAUCGUGAGUUUCAAUACUCAUCAAACUGUGAUUAAAUCAGAUCAUUCUGAACACUUUGAACAGGCUAAAUAAGCUACAUAAUGCACUUCGCUUCGGCCAAAAAUCUUU